rnacentral:rRNA from 1 species
AGAGAGAGACAUGCGCGCAUAUCAAUAAGCGGAGGAAAAGAAACUAACUAGGAUUCCCUCAGUAACGGCGAGUGAAGCGGGAAGAGCUCAAAUUUGAAAUCUUCAAGGUUCUACCUUGACGAAUUGUAGUUUAAAGAAGUGUUUUCUGUUGGAGUUUUGGUAAAAGUUCUUUGGAAUAGGACAUCAUAGAGGGUGAGAAUCCCGUAUUUGACCAUUAUUUCCAGCUUUGUGAUACACCUUCAAAGAGUCGGAUUGUUUGGGAAUGCAGUCCAAAAUGGGUGGUAAAUUUCAUCUAAAGCUAAAUAUUGGCGAGAGACCGAUAGCGAACAAGUACCGUGAGGGAAAGAUGAAAAGAACUUUGAAAAGAGAGUUAAACAGUACGUGAAAUUGUCGAAAGGGAAGCGUUUGACACCAGUGUUGUUUUCUCGAAAAUCAAUUAAAAAAGGCAGGAUUUUGUGUUGUAUUGACUUUAUCAGCUUUCUGCACUCUUUUCUUGUCUUUUUUAAUGCACUUUUCGUUUAACAAGUCAACAUCAAUUUCUUUUGUUGUAAAAGGGUCAUUGGAAGGUGGCUUUCUUUUCGGAGAAAGUGUUUAUAGCCUUUGGCCUCUGCAAUCGGAGAGAUUGAGGUCUGCAGCGUAGAUCCCUCGGGGUUAGAUACAUUUGUGCUAAGUUAUAGCCUUUCAUAGACAACUUGUUGACUAUGAUCAGUCAUGUAGCUUACUCGCUUAUGCUAUUUUACCUACGCUUAGGAUGUUGAUGUGAUACUGCGAGCA